ensembl:lncRNA
UCUGAAAUAAGAUGUAAAUCUUCUGCCCAGUUACCCACUUGGUAAGUUGACAAUUAUCAUACUGCUUUUACUUUUUUCUCUUUUUUUAAAGGAUUUGUACUUCUAUUGGUUCUUAGAAGAGCUGGGUAGUUUUCCAAAGAAACAGUAGGACAAGUCCCGGAAGCCUGACAAGCUUCCAGAGCCUCCCCUUCCUUUGGACUCAAUACUAGGGUUAUGAGAGAAUGUGGAAAGGCAGAGCCACAGCAAGACAAACAGGAGAGAGAUUCCCAUCAUCCACUGCAUAUGUUACAUAUCCCAAUCUUUAAGAAAGCCAUCCAUCCAAGGCUAAGACACAAACCAGAAUGGAAGUUAUGCCUCAGAGAUGGAUGGAGUCCUCAGGUGGGGAUUGCUUGAUUAUUCAACCCAGUCAUUAUUCAAUAUUAUUUAAAAGGUAUCUUAUGUCAGUUAUUAAAGAGAAAGCCUUUUAAAUCCACCUUUAAAUCUCUAACCCUAGCAUCCAUUGCUUUCAGUUCUACAUUGUGUUCAUUUCUGAUAUUUAUCUGCAUACUCCAUGCAUAGCCCCUGGAUCAGCCACAAAAUCACAACUUCAUGCUCAGCUCUGUGCAGUCAGAGUGCUUGUUUCUACCUUGAACUUUGACGUUGAAUACUGUGCAUUAUUCUCGUUCUAAGUGCUUGGUCUUCUCUCUGUUGUUACAGCUCAUAUCUGUGGUCUUGAUUUUUUCCUAGACUGAUCAGUCAUGCUGGCUCUCCACAGCCACCGUCAUUGUGAGGAUCCACCUGCUCUCCCUGGGAUGCUGAAUACUGUUUUAUAACAAGGGAAUAUGCAGUAACUAGAAGAAGCAGAACAACUUGCCACCAAUCAGAGUGGAAGCAUGCCAUCAGCCUCUGCCUUGUUCUCCGACAGAGACGAAGCCAGUGCCUCCCAUGCCGGGCUCUCUGGAGAUCAUCUCUCAGCAUGGAGAGCCUGCUCCAGCCCCUGAAGCAGAAAGCUGCUACUUAACCAAACACACAGGCCUAACAGCUGGGAUUAAAUGACCCGAAAGGUAAAACAAUCCUGCCUACAGCAAACAGAAUCACCACUUAGGCUCUGCUGUCAAGUCAUGUGGACCCUGUAAAAACAGGUUAAGCCAUGUUGAGAAUGUGCUAUGCUCACACAGCAGAGUAGAAUAAACUAGCGAGGGUAUGAUUGGGAUAGGAGCACGUUUUGCUAAAGCCAAUUCUCUCUAACUCCCACAUACACGUCUACUUGUAUCCUUCAGUAAUUCCUGAAUAUGUUAAAGGAAGAAACUACAGACGAAUACAUGUUCUACUUACUGAUCUGCCUGCUGGAAAUCUCUUCAUUUAAUUUCUGGAGACUACCUAAAUCAGAAAACUAUAGCAGUACAAUGAGUAACCAUGUUAAGUAAUCCUCUCUACCACCUCGUUCCCCAGGCUAAGACACUUCUAAGGAAGCAUUUUAGCUCAAUUGGAGAACUUCUUAAAGCCAGAUCAAAACUAAAACUCAGUGUGUCAGAGAAGUAACUGGGUUUUAAAAGAAAAGGCUGUGUGAGCCAUCUUCGAACAGCAGAAUGUCUCUCUUAAAAUUACUGACAUCCAGAAUCAGAUGUCUUGUCUACAGAGCAAGACCCUGUCUCAAAAACACAACAGCAAAAAUAACUUCUGAGAUUCGUUUAGAAUUAUCCUUACUGAUAAAAUUACAACUAUAAAAGAGAUAAUCAUUUUAAGUACAGAAAAUUAUUCAGACAGAAAAAUGGAUUCCAGAAAGCAACCCUGUGUUUAAGUCACUGUUUCGGGUAAUUUCUCCAUUGUCAUUGUUUAGAUACAAGCUGGGGGCUAGCAGUGAUCUCAUGGGCGCCUAUAAAAGAUGCCCAGGAACGUGAUAACCAUUGGAUGUUGUAUACAUGCAAUCAGAAACACAACCAAGAUUGUGUCAAACUCAGGGCCUUGGAAUUGAGAGGAAGAGAGCCUCCCUCGGCUGUCUGUUAGCCCCUCUCUACCCUUAGGAAGUAUCUAUUCUUGCUUCCUAACUGAAUGUUAUUUAGAAUUCUGUUUUGAUUAUACACACUUUUUAUGUUUCAGGAAAAAAAAAUAUUUUCCCGUGCAUGGUUUUAAUUCUUUUUCUAAAACAGAAGUUUAACACUACAAAAAAAAAAAAAAAGGAAAGAAAAAGCAAUAAUGGUUGUAAGGGGAAAACACAGAAAUUAAGGCAGACUCUCUCUAAUGGGGAAUGUGGAUGAAGGAGUACUUGGGAAAGCCAAGCUAUGAAGAAUUGUCUAAGAUUAUUCUUCAAUCUCCUUAUCCUUCCUUGGAUUUUCCAACUGUUCCACAACAACCACACACACAAAGAGAGCAGCCUGUGAGGGGUACACAGCCUGAGCGGGAGUUCAGGACACUACUCUCUACCCAGUUUCUGCACGGGCAGCCAGUUGGCAGCACUCACUGUGGCAGCCCAAGGUGACUUUCUCUAGGGCUGCAGUCGUGCUCAGAUUUGAGCCCUGGUGUAGCUUCAAAACAUCCAGUGUCUGAGCUUGACCCAUUUUCUCCCAGGAAAACUCUCAUGUUCCCUAAAACAACCUCCUCUGACCUGUGAGGACCAGUCAGUAGGUGUCCACGGGAAAACCCUUUGCCUGAAGGACUCGGGGCAGGGGCUUCGGACAGGCAGAAUUGCACCCCAACUCAGCCAGCACUGUCAGCUAUGGGUGGCUUCAUGCACUUAAGAGAACAAAGCUAAGGACGUGGCAGUGAACUGAUGUGGCAAACACUCAAAAGAACCAUCUUCCAUGCUAGAAAAUGUCCGGGCCACUCAAACAUAAACACGAACAGCCACACAUGUAGCAUUGCUGGUUAACUAGUCCCUGGGCUGUUGUUCCAGACAGAGUCAGUUGGCGAAGAAGUACUAGAAAUGCAAACAUACUGACAGACCUAAGGGAGUUACUGGGGGAACACCACAGUGGGUUUUAUGGGGCACAUAUUAUCCAGCACUAGGAGCCUUAAGCACCUCGUUCCUUUAGACCACGCAUAACCGGUAGAGUGAGGCUCUCUGAUCCAUCAGUGAGCAUGUGCUGAACACUCCAACAGGACCAGGAAGAAACUAUGAGGUCCAGCGGUGUUCAGCUUAGCUUUCUGGGGAACGAUGGCAAUAACUUUCCCAAAGAGGAAGGACUGUCGAAAUGUCAGCUUAGCUUUCUGGGGAACGAUGGCAAUAACUUUCCCAAAGAGGAAGGACUGUCGAAAUGGAACAAAGAUAGUUAGCCUUCAGGGACAGGAACCGAUAAAGCUAUGUCUCCCAAGGAGCCCACUCUGCUGUGGACACAGAAAUCCCAGCCUCAGCUUGUUCAGGAGGCCUUGACAUGCUGGGCUGGAGCGCCCCCUUCUGACCACUGCCUUCUGUGACAUCAAGUUCUGAGGCCAGACUCUCUCAGAUGAGGCUACCUAAAUGUCAUUUUGUCCUCGGUUUUCUGGAUGUUUUGGAUUAGGAAUUUUUUUAUGUUUUGAAUUUUCUUUGACAGUUGUGUCAAUAUCUUCCAAUGUAUCUUCUACACCUGAGAUUCUCUCUUCUAUCUCUUGUAUUCUGUUGAUGAUGCUUACAUCUGUAAUUCCUGACCUUUUUCUUUAAAGAAAAAAGGAAAAUAGGUGGUAGCUAUCAAUCCAUCGUCAAAGACGACUAUUUUUAACAUCAUUUGAUAUGUAUCAUUUUUACAUAGUUGAGGUCAUGCUAUGCAGUAGCCGUUUUCCAUACACUUCUGCCUUCAUUCCCUGGCCCUCCCUGGCCCCUGUCAAGCUGGCUUCCCACUAUUCCACUAGACUGGACAACGGGAGGCACUGGCAAGUUUAAAGAGCAGAAGGGUCAAGUCUGGAUAUUUUCUCACCCCCUUUGCCUGGAGAAGGAAUUUUCCAGUAGCCACAACUCUUGUGCCCACCAAGUGGAUAAUUUCUAGGCCCUGAGACCUCUUGCAACCCUGAUGUUGUUCAGCCCUGGGUCCCUUCAGCUUAAUGGUGGGUUCUCUGCACUUUGUCACCUACAAAGUAGAUCCCACAAUGACAUCAUUUGAAAUACGCAGCGUGGUUUAAUUUUCUAAUCAUGACAAGACCAAUCUGUAUACUCAUUUAAAAUUAUUCCACAUGGGUUGUCAAAUAUAGUUCUUUACAGAUUCUUUUGCUGUGGUAUUGUUUUCGGUUUGUUGUUUUGUUUGAGACAAGGUCUGACGCAGCCCAGGUUGUCCAAGGGUGACUUUAAACCUCUGAUCCUCCUGCCUCUACCUCCUGAGUGCUGGGAUUACAGGCCUAUAUCACCAUACUGGGGUUUAUACGGUGCUGGAGAUCAAACCUAGAGGCACUCUCCCAACCGAGAUACAUCCCCAGUGAACAAACUCCAUCUUAAAAGACUGAAGAAUAAUUC